rnacentral:lncRNA from 1 species
AGAAGGGCGCUAUAUUCCUCCUCAUUUAAGGAACCGAGAAGCUACUAAAGGUUUCUACGAUAAAGACAGUUCAGGGUGGAGUUCUAGCAAAGAUAAGGAUGCGUAUAGCAGUUUUGGAUCUCGUAGUGAUUCAAGAGGGAAGUCUAGCUUCUUCAGUGAUCGUGGAAGUGGAUCAAGGGGAAGAUUUGAUGAUCGUGGACGGAGUGAUUACGACAGCAUUGGCAGCCGUGGUGACAGAAGUGGCUUUGGCAAAUUUGAACGUGGUGGAAACAGUCGCUGGUGUGACAAAUCAGAUGAAGAUGAUUGGUCAAAACCACUCCCACCAAGUGAACGCUUGGAACAGUAAGUUUUUGAAGUGUAUGUUACUUGUGAUGAAGCCUUACUAGCUAGUGUAACAAAUGAACUUAUCCAUUUUUUGAUUUGAGGGAACUCUUUUCUGGAGGCAACACUGGGAUUAAUUUUGAGAAAUACGAUGACAUUCCAGUUGAGGCAACAGGCAACAACUGUCCUCCACAUAUUGAAAGUGUGAGUAUUUUUGCUUGACUUUUUAAGACACAGAGAGG